UACAGAGGAGCCAAGCGUUGUCCGGAUUGACUGGGCGUAAAGCGCACGCAGGCGGACGCGCGCGUGGGGUGUGAAAUCUGGCCGCUUAACGGCCAGGCGCCAUCCCAUACGGCGGGUCUGGAGCCUUGCAGAGGUCGGUGGAAUUGCCGGUGUAGUGGUGAAAUUCGUAGAUAUUAGGAAGAACACCAGUGGCGAAGGCGGCUCACUGGCCCGGUACUGACGCUGAGGCGCGAAAGCGUGGGGAGCAAACAGG
rnacentral:rRNA from 1 species